rnacentral:ncRNA from 1 species
AAAUAUCUGCCACCGGGUAGAAAAACAUUUGUCUGCAUGUCAUAAGGUCUUAGAAGAGAUGCAGGUGAAUGUUUCUUUUUU